UACGUAGGGUGCGAGCGUUAAUCGGAAUUACUGGGCGUAAAGCGUGCGCAGGCGGUUUUGUAAGCCAGAUGUGAAAUCCCCGGGCUUAACCUGGGAAUGGCAUUUGGGACUGCAAGGCUUGAGUGCGGCAGAGGAGACUGGAAUUCCUGGUGUAGCAGUGAAAUGCGUAGAUAUCAGGAGGAACACCGAUGGCGAAGGCAGGUCUCUGGGCUGACACUGACGCUCAUGCACGAAAGCGUGGGAGCAACAGG
rnacentral:rRNA from 1 species